UCAUAAAGUGCAGACAGGCAUCAUGGGUACAGUUCUCAUCACACUGUCAGCCAUACUAUUGUGUUUCAUAGGUUCUGCUGUUUGCAAUGUUCUCCAGGUUCCUCCUGAUCUCAUAAAGAAUAAGAAAGAGGAUGCCGAGAUCAAAUGUGCACACACUGUAACAAGCUAUGACCGAAUACUGUGGUACAAACAAGAUCAAACCACAGGAUUUAAGCUCAUGGGCUACCUCUAUACUGAUAGUAAGAAAAAAGAGACUGGAUAUGAGAACAAGAUUGAACUGAGUGGUGAUGGGAGGAAUAAUGCUACUUUGACUAUAAAAAGUCUCUCAGUGAACGACAGUGGUGUGUAUUUCUGUGCAGCAUAUUACACAGUGCUGUAGAUUCCCUCACUUCACUACAAAAACCUUCAUCUGAUCUACUUUACCACCAACACACAACACCUGCA